rnacentral:lncRNA from 1 species
AUUUUUUUAAUCUUUUUCAUAUUGAAACAACUUCUUGCUCUUUUCUUCUGUUUUGUACUUCCACAUACUUUUGGUUUGUUUUCCAUUCAUAUGCUGGGAUGGCUUUUCCAAGUACCUGAGCACUACUAUGAAGCAGUAACACAGCCAUUGGAGGCUGCAUAAAGGCAUUAAUAGUGUAGCUGUGGAAAGAAGCAUCUGUCCCUAGUUUCCCCCCUAGUUGCUUCUUCCCUUGAAGAAGGAUGAAUGACAUGUUUUGAAGCCCACUCUGUGGCCAUGUGGCAUAAGUCUGGAAUAUCCUCUAGGAUUUGUCUCCUAGGCAGAGGCCACGUGCAUUUUAGCUGUGUCACUGCUGCCUCCCUUUAACCUACUGAAAUAGCAGAUUGUCCCAACAACCACAGCUCAGUUUUGUGUUACAAAAAUGAGUUGACUUGCAUGAGAAAAGUGCCCAGAAUGCAUGCAGAGCUGUGCAUUGCAGGACCAGUUGUGGCACUCGUGGCUGAAGAGUGAAGUUACUUGGUGGUGUAGAGAGACACACUGAGAACAAGCCAGUCUGGUUUCUUCACUCUUGACUUGUAAGUGUUCUUGUUGCUUUAGAAGGCUUCUAGACAUCUACAGCUGAAGAGGUUUUUUUUCAUUGCCAGUGUUACUGCCACAGACAUAGAAAUGGUGUCAGAGGAAGAUGAUGCUGAGGAGGUGCCAGAACUUCAGGUGACAGGGAAAAUUGGAGCAAAAAAGCAGAGGAAAUUAGAAGAGAAACAAGCCAGAAAAGCUCAGAGAGAGGUAAGCAUUCCUAUCCCUGCCACGUACAAAGCUCAGAGCAAAACCUAAACAGUGAUACU